AGUUUGACCUCAAAUCAGGUAGGAUUACCCGCUGAACUUAAGCAUAUCAAUAAGCGGAGGAAAAGAAACCAACAGGGAUUGCCUUAGUAGCGGCGAGUGAAGCGGCAAAAGCUCAAAUUUGAAAUCUGGCGUAUUCUACGUCCGAGUUGUAAUUUGAAGAAGGUAACUUUGGGGUUGGCUCUUGUCUAUGUUCCUUGGAACAGGACGUCACAGAGGGUGAGAAUCCCGUGCGAUGAGAUGCCCAAUUCCAUGUAAAGUUCCUUCGAAGAGUCGAGUUGUUUGGGAAUGCAGCUCUAAGUGGGUGGUAAAUUCCAUCUAAAGCUAAAUAUUGGCGAGAGACCGAUAGCGAACAAGUACAGUGAUGGAAAGAUGAAAAGAACUUUGAAAAGAGAGUGAAAAAGUACGUGAAAUUGUUGAAAGGGAAGGGUUUGAGAUCAGACUUGGUAUUUUGUAUGUCUUGCUCUCGGGCGGGGCCUCUGCAGUUUACUGGGCCAGCAUCGGUUUGGAUGGUAGGACAAUCGCGGAGAAAUGUGGCACCACCUCGGUGGUGUGUUAUAGUCUUUGUGGAUACUGCCUGUCUAGACCGAGGACUGCGUCUUUUUGACUAGGAUGUUGGCAUAAUGAUCUUAAACCGCCCGUCUUGAAACACGGACCAA
rnacentral:rRNA from 1 species